rnacentral:misc_RNA from 2 species
AACGCAUCUUGCGCCCUUUGGUAUUCCGAAGAGCAUGCCUGUUUGAGUGUCAUGAAAACAUCAUCCCGUCGGGUUUCCGACGACGAUGGACUUGGGUGUUGCCGUCUGGCUCGCCUUAAAGGUGUUAGUGGUUCUAAGAUUGAAUCUGGCGUAAUAAGUUUCGUCGGUGGAUGUCGAAGGCUGCUCCUAACCCGUCUUUGGACACUUUUUGCUCUGACCUCAAAUCAGGUAGGACUACCCGCUGAACUUAA